UACAGAGGGGGCAAGCGUUGUUCGGAAUUACUGGGCGUAAAGGGCGCGUAGGCGGCCUUCUAAGUCGAACGUGAAAUCCCUCGGCUUAACCGAGGAACUGCCUGUCAGACUGGAAGGCUUGAGACCGGGAGAGGUGAGUGGAAUUCCCAGUGUAGCGGUGAAAUGCGUAGAUAUUGGGAGGAACACCAGUGGCGAAGGCGGCUCACUGGACCGGAACUGACGCUGAGGCGCGAAAGCGUGGGGAGCAAACAGG
rnacentral:rRNA from 1 species